rnacentral:rRNA from 1 species
UACGUAGGGAGCGAGCGUUGUCCGGAUUUAUUGGGCGUAAAGAGCGCGUAGGCGGCUUGGUAAGCCGGAUGUGAAACCCCCAAGCUCAACUUGGGGCGGCCAUUCGGAACUGCCAUGGCUAGAGUCUGGUAGGGGAACACGGAAUUCCUGGUGUAGCGGUGAAAUGCUUAGAUAUCAGGAGGAACACCAGUGGCGAAGGCGGUGUUCUGGGCCAGUACUGACGCUGAGGCGCGAAAGCGUGGGGAGCGAACAGG